UGUUAAGAACCUGGAGAAAGUGAAGGAAUAUGUGCAUCCUUGUUGUUGGAAAGAGACAUUUGUUGAAACUUACAAAGAGAUAAUACAACCAAUGCCUGGCCAGUCUGAGUGGGUUGAGACUAACCAACCUGCUCCUGUUGCUCCUCAUGUGUAUAAACCACCUAGCAGACCACCAAAGUAAAGAAAAAGAGAUCCUGAAGAGCUAAGGAACCCUUAUAGAGUUUCUAGGAUGAACAAAACAAUCAAGUGUGGGAAGUGCAAGAAAGAAGGAUAUAAUGGAAGAGGGUGCAAGGUAGGCAUCACUGGUGAAACUCCAUGGUAGAAAAGAGAUAGACUUGCUAAAUCAAAAGCUGUAAGUAUUUCCAUGCUUUGAACUAUAUUCAUUUCCUCCUAUGUUUCAUGUGUAUGUAAUUUGUACAACCCUCUUUGUAGGCACAGGGUAGUAAAUCUACAAAAACAAAGCAGACUGCAACACCUCAAACUGCAUCUCAGCCACCAAGUACUAGAUCUCAGCUUGCAUAUAGAGCUUUUGGUCAAAUUGCAUCUCAACCUGUACCAAACAAUAGAUCUGAGCCAGGUGUAUCUGUGAGCACUAGUGGUGUACCAAGUCAAGAAGUGGUGGUGGUGCUGCUAGGGGGUUUAAAGGCAAAACGUUUGGUGUAUCAAGGCCAACAAAAUUUUAACUAGUUGGUGGAAAGGGCAAGAAGGUAGUUGGCAAGAGCACCAAAAGCAGUAAAUAAAGAUGGAAGAAGUUAAAGUUUCAACCACUUUUUUUGUUAUAGUUCCCACGCUUAAUGUAUUUGCUUAAAGUAUUUGCUUGAGCAUGGUCAAGUGUCAAAAACAAUAUUGGCAAUUUUGGUUGGAAGAUGUAUAUGUCUAAUGUGUGGUGGACUAGUAGUUGGGUUUUGGUUGGAAGAUGUGUAAAGUCACAGGAUGUGCCAAAAACAAUAUUGGCAAUUAUGUAUGCAUGUGACAUAAAGUUACAAUGACUGUUCACUUCUAUUAAAAGCAGUUAAUGUGCAUUGACACAA